ACCCAGCAAUACGCACUAACAACAACAACAACAACAACAACACAAUAAAAAGAGUUUGGAAGUUGGACCAUCAGAUUGGUCCCUGGGAGGGCUGCUUGAUCUUGCUGUUUCUGGAGGCCCCACCAUCUUCUUUGCUUCGGGUAGUCAGCUUUCUGGGUUUUUCCUUUUCCCAGUCUUCUCUCAGCUGUGUCUCUGAAGAGCUCAGAUCACCCUGGCCACAGGGAUUGGUCCAGAGACGGGGAAGUCAGCCUUAGGACGUUUGUUGGAAAUUCUGGAAGGGGUUCUCUUUCCCCUGGCAUGGCCAAGCUGAUAGAAGUAUACCCAGAGAUGCUUCGUCUGUGCUCGGGGAGACUCUUCUGGAGAAUAAAGCCACACAGGAGAGCAGAGUGCAGUGAUGGAGAACACAUGUACUCAGUAACCUCAGUAGAGUGCCUGGAUACAGCCACGCCUGAAACACUGAAACCAUACCUCCUCCCACACAGUUCACUUCCAAGAGCCAGUUCCUUUUUUCUCUUGCUUGCUGAAGCCCGUUUGACUUGGGUUUUUAUCUCUCCCAAAGUGAGGGGUUGGCCAGUAUGGGGAGGGGACUUAACCUCUCUGAACCCGAGUCUCUUCAUCUGUCAAAUGAUCUCCUUAGGAAACCUGAAAGGACUCGCCCUGAAGGGUGGGGCCCCGCAGGCCCUUCGGCAAGAGCGGGAAUGGUCUUGCUACAAAAGCUCUUGCCACGGUUAUCUCACCUGGUCCUUUGGAGAACUCUGUGAGGUGCUUAGCGACUGUAACGGUCGUGCUCCACUUGGAGGGGAGGACUCUCGCAGUCAGGGAGGUAGCAGGUACCAGAUCGCUUUCGUUUCCUCCUCCCCACCCCCCCCCCAAAAGAAAUAAAUAAAAACUUAAAAAGAAAUCCCCCCCAUUGGUGUAGGUGUCAGCCUCCACUGAGUGCAGGGUGGGAGCAGACCCUGGCUAACCGCUGGGGUGCUUGGCCGGUGGUCGUUGGGAUAAGGCUGCCUGGGAGGGCGGGCAGCGUUUGCCCUAAGAGCAGGAGAACACUGUGGUUGUGAAUCGUCCCGAGAAGAGGAGGGUCCCCGGACAGGUGGAAGCAGGAAGCCCUCCCUUGAACAGGGAAGUGCUCCCCAGGCACCAGGCACAACUUGUAAGAAUCAGCAGGAGCCUGGGGGUCUGGGAAGGGUUCCUGGACAGCGGGGGUUGAAGAUGGCACACACCUCUUGGAGAACAGCAAAGGCCAUCAAAAACUGAGUGUGAACCACGUACUCAGGCCCGGGCUUGGGGUUUCGAUCCCGUCGCGCCGGUACGACCAGGUAUUGUCCUCCCAUCGCUCGGAGGAAGGACCAAGCGCUACGGGGAUAACAGCUUUCUCAGAUCACGCAGUUAGGACGAACCUGGGUUCGGAUUCAAGCCUGGGUCGAAAGUUCGUGACUGUAGCUCAAGUGGAGGCAGAGGGGACCAGAGGGGGGGAGCUUUGUGGUGGUCCCCACUUUGGCAAUGAGCCACACCACGCCGUGGGAGUCCAACUCCUGUGACUCGGGCGGUGAGUCUUCCCCGGCUAUCCCUGCACCCUUGGGCCCCUGUGUGAUUGAGCCAUCGGGACCCACGGGCAGGGUCAGAUGGGCCGCAGUGACAGGCAGCAGGCCUGGCCUGCAGCCUGAGUAUGGGUCAGCCGGAGACCCCAAGGGGAAGGUGAAGCUUGGGCACAGAGUCUGGCACAGCGUCAGCUGGGCACUGGCGUCCGUGUGGCCCGCUUCUCCCACGGCCAUUCCGGCACCUGACAGCCCCGGGCCGGGAAGGGAAGGCCCGGAGUGCCUGGGCUCGACGUGGAGCUGGCAGGACCCGACUCUCCAUGUUCUCGUCACAGAACUACACCUGGGCUAAGCUUCCAAAGGAGCCACCCGGGCUAGGCCUCCCUCCCCAGGGCUUUGGAUGCCGGCACCCUCCCAGCCUCCUGUGCUCGCAGCGCUGGAGAAAGGCAAACGCGUGCCCCCGAGCCAGCUGCAUGAAGGCGAAGGGUCUGUCCCUUCGCUCCCAGACCAUGUCAAACUACAGAGUUAUAAACGAGAUGGAAAUACAUUUCUAAAGUAUCUGCUGCUUUAGCUCUUCUGUUCCAGGUUGAGCUGCCCGCUGGUUCCGGAGAAAGGACAAGAAAGCCCAGGGCUGCCCGGAAGCAGAGGCUGAGACUGAGCCUGGGGUCCCGCCUUCCCUCCCUGGGGCCCUGCAAAGACUCCAGGCCUCCUGCAGGACCCUGGCUCUGAGGCUCCCACACAGACUCCAGAAUGGCCUUUCCUUCCAUGUCUGAGUUCCCUUCUGCGUGGGGUCCCAGGUCUUCCUCCACCCCAUGGGCCAGAACCUUUUAUCUGGGAGCCCAGGGCUCUUUUCCCAGCCUUGCCUUGAGGGAGGCGUCUGAGUCCCGGAAGCUCACCUGCCGUCAUAGCUUUUGUCCACUUGCUUCCGAGGCACCACGCCUCGCUCUCCUGAGCGGCCAGUGCCGUGAUGAGUGUCGAGGACCAUGAUCCUCUUCACCUCUGUGUGCCUCUCUAAAAUCAAAGCCAGUCCUCCAACCAACCAACCCGGCCUCUGCUAAACAGACCAUAGCAGAGCCCUCCCACGUAUCGACGUGUAUUUCAGCCCGGGGUUUUCUGAAGAUGAUGCCUCCGUUCGCUUUAAAGGUCUCCGGCUCACGUCAUCCCCACGAUCAUCCCAGUGCCACGUCCUUAUUUUGCAGAUGUUGAAAUGGAGGCUCAGAGCAGGGGACUCCCUCAAGAAAUCAUGAAUCCCGAACCCUUGCCUCAGGCUCUGCUGUUGAGAAACCCACGCUUAAGAGCAGCUGGGUGGCCUGGAGCAGGUCAUCGGACAAUCUGAGCCUCAGCGCCCUCAACCAAUCCCUCGGGAGGUGUUGCAGGUAGGCCCAGCCAUGGAACCUAAGAGGGUAGAAGGAAGUUUUUCCUCCUCUGCAUCAUAUCCAUCACGCCCCAAAGUUUCUUCCUGCCCAUUGGGAAUCCCUCCUUCCCGCUCCUCCCCUCUUUAAAGCCUGUGGUUCUAAAGCGUGCUGUUGCGAACGGCGCUGCUGUGAACAUUCUUGUACGAGACUUUGGCGCCCGUCUGCACACACUUCCGCUGGCGUGGACUGCUAGGCCAGCGUGCGUGCUUGUGCUCAGCCUCUGGAAAUAGUGCCCGUGGCAGCAGCUCCCAGGAUGGUUCCAUUGAUCCCUGCUUCUCGGUGUUCACACUUGUUCUGGACCGAGCGUUUGGGUCCUGCCCAAAUUCGUAUGUUGAAGCCUUCGGGCUUCCCGGGGUGGCUGUAUUCGGAGACGGGGCCUCUGUGGAAGUAACGAAGAUUGACGUCCUAAGAGGGGGGCCCUGAUCUGAUAGGAUGGGUGUCCUUAUAAGAAGAGAUCAGGGAACUAGCCUGCUCUCUCUUACUUGCUUUAUCGUGUGCACUCUCUCACCACGCUGCCCCACUCCACGCACACACACACACACACACACACACACACAACGCUUUUCUGAACCUUGAGAGUAAGUUGUGUACAUGAUGACCUUUUACUCCCAAAUGAUUCCGUCUGUAUUUCUUAGGAACAUUCCCAUCCAUGAUCACCCUGCAGCUACCAACUUCAGUCUGCUUAACGUUGCCAUAAUACUUCUAUCUACCUUACUAUCUGUAUUUCCAUUUUUGAAGUUGAUCUAAUAAUGCCCUUUGUGGCGUCUUCCCUCUUCCAGUACAGAAUUCUGUCUAGAGUCAGGCAUUGUUCUUACUGUCACGUCUUUUCAGCUUCCUUCAAUCAGGAACAUUUCCAUGGCCUUUCUUUGUCUUUUAUGACAUUGACAUUUUGAACAAUACAGUCCCUCCCCCUCUUCCCUCUCAGAUGGAACGUUCCUCAUUUUGUUUGUCUGAUACUUUCUUAUGAUUAGAGGAAAUAUUGCUUUGCCGGCUGGCAUCCUGUGCGAGUGGUCGCCGGGUCUCGCAUCCGGGGCCACACCGUUUCUCUCUGCUCCUCGUUAAGGAUGCUAAUUUUGAUCACCUACCUGGUCCAGGUGGGGUUCAGUGAUAUUUUUUCCCUGGAACUGAUAAGCGACCUGUGAGGACAUUAUACUGUGAGCAGGAACCCUCUUUUUGAAGGUAGCUUAAUUCGAUGUAGUCUAACUUACUGGCUUUUUCCUUUAUAGUGGAUGUCUUUUGUGUCCAGUCAAAAAAAAAAAAAUUUUUUUUUUUUUUUGCCUAGCUCAGCCUCUAAAGGUAUUCUUCUAGUUUCUCCUAAAAGCUUUAUUAUUACUAGACCUUCGACAUUUAGAUCUGUGAUCCAUCUGGAAUGGAGGUUUUUUGUGCCUGAUGUAAGCUAGCGGUCAAGACGUGGAAAUCCAAGGAAUCCAGAUGCUUUUAUGUACUUAUUUAUUCUUUUUUUUUAAUGUUUCGUUCGUUUUUAAUGUUUUGAGGGAGACA